rnacentral:tRNA from 1 species
AGGGGUAUAGCUCAGUCGGUAGAGCAGCCGGUUCCAAACCGGCAGGUCCCGGGUUCAAGUCCUGGUGCCCCUG